rnacentral:rRNA from 1 species
UACGAGUGGUCCAAGCGUUAGUCGGAAUCACUGGGCUUAAAGGGUGCGUAGGCGGGCUUGUAAGUGCCUUGUGAAAUCCCAUGGCUCAACCAUGGAACUGCAGGGCAUACUGCGAGUCUUGAGGAAUCUAGAGGCCGGCAGAACGAUAGGUGGAGCGGUGGAAUGCGUAGAUAUCUAUCGGAAUGCCAAAGGUGAAGACAGCCGGCUGGGGAUUUCCUGACGCUGAGGCACGAAAGCGUGGGGAUCAAACAGG